rnacentral:tRNA from 1 species
GAAUUUUGAGUAUGGUUUUUGUAUAACUAAUUGUUGAUUAGUAGGGUAAAGGUUCU